rnacentral:rRNA from 1 species
GUUCCUACGGGACGCAGCAGUGAGGAAUAUUGGUCAAUGGCCGGAAGGCUGAACCAGCCAAGUCGCGUGAGGGAAUAAGGCCCUAUGGGUCGUAAACCUCUUUUGUCAGGGAGCAAAGUCACCCACGUGUGGGUGUUGGAGAGUACCUGAAGAAAAAGCAUCGGCUAACUCCGUGCCAGCAGCCGCGGUAAUACGGAGGAUGCGAGCGUUAUCCGGAUUUAUUGGGUUUAAAGGGUGCGUAGGCGGGUUAUCAAGUCAGCGGUAAAAUCGUGGAGCUCAACUCCAUCCAGCCGUUGAAACUGAUG